UCCCAGUUAGUAUAGUGGCUAGUAUCCGACCCUGUCAAUUCAAAACAGCACGGUUGAGACCCGGGUUCAAUUCCCGGACUGGGAG